rnacentral:rRNA from 1 species
CACCGCGGUUAUACGAGAGGCCCAAGUUGACAAGUGCCGGCGUAAAGAGUGGUUAAUAAGAUGCAAACUAAGGCCAAACACCUUCAAGACUGUUAUACGUACCCGAAGACAGGAAAACCCUCGACGAAAGUAGCCUUAACCAAAUAUGACCCCACGAAAGCUAGGACA